UAUGUUGCCAACAAAAAUUAA
rnacentral:siRNA from 1 species